rnacentral:rRNA from 1 species
AAGGGGAGCAAUCCCUGAGUACAGUGGCGACCGGGUGAGUAACACGUGACUACCUGCCCUUGAGUGGGGGAUAACCUCGGGAAACCGAGGCUAAUACCGCAUAAUAUCGCAAGAUCAAAGGAGCAAUCCGCUUUUGGAGGGGGUCGCGGCUGAUUAGCUAGUUGGUAAGGUAAUGGCUUACCAAGGCGAAGAUCGGUAUCCGGCCUGAGAGGGCGCACGGACACACUGGAACUGAAACACGGUCCAGACUCCUACGGGAGGCAGCAGUGGGGAAUUUUGCGCAAUGGGGGAAACCCUGACGCAGCAACGCCGCGUGGAGGAUGAAGCCCCUUGGG